UUCCCUUCGGGGGAUGAGUAAAGUGGCGCACGGGUGAGUAACACGUAGGUAAUCUACCUUCGGGUGGGGAAUAACCCAGGGAAACUUGGGCUAACACCGCAUAAUGCAGCGGCACCACAUGGUGACAGUUGUUAAAGCGGGGGAUUUUAGGACCUCGCGCCUGAAGAGGAGCCUGCGGCGGUUUAGCUAGUUGGUAGGGUAACGGCUUACCAAGGCGACGAUCCGUAACCGGCCUGAGAGGGCGGUCGGUCACACUGACACUGACAUACGGGUCAGACUCCUACGGGAGGCAGCAGUCGAGAAUUUUGGGCAAUGGGCGAAAGCCUGACCCAGCAACGCCGCGUGAAGGAUGAAAUCCCUCGGGAUGUAAACUUCGCAAGAAUAGGAAGAAUUAGUAGGGGCUAAUACCCCCUAUGAUGACGGUACUAUUUGUAAGCUCCGGCUAACUCCGUGCCAGCAGCCGCGGUAAUACGGGGGGAGCAAGCGUUGUUCGGAUUCACUGGGCGUAAAGGGCGCGUAGGCGGUAGCACAAGUCAGUUGUGAAAUCUCCGGGCUUAACUCGGAAAGGUCAACUGAUACUGUGCGACUAGAGUGCAGAAGGGGCAACUGGAAUUCUCGGUGUAGCGGUGAAAUGCGUAGAUAUCGAGAGGAACACCUGCGGCGAAGGCGGGUUGCUGGGCUGACACUGACGCUGAGGCGCGAAAGCCAGGGGAGCGAACGGGAUUAGAUACCCCGGUAGUCCUGGCCUUAAACGAUGGAUGCUUGGUGUCUGGAGUUUUAUAGUCUCCGGGUGCCGCAGCU
rnacentral:rRNA from 1 species